rnacentral:rRNA from 1 species
UCGACGAAGCUCUUGCGACAGAUUCCUUCGGGAUGAAGAUGCUUGAUACUUAGUGGCGGACGGGUGAGUAACGCGUGGGUAACCUGCCCUGUACUGGGGGACAACAGUUAGAAAUGACUGCUAAUACCGCAUAAGCCUACAGAGUCGCAUGACUCAGCAGGAAAAAUUCCGGUGGUACAGGAUGGGCCCGCGUCUGAUUAGCUAGUUGGUGAGGUAAUGGCUCACCAAGGCGACGAUCAGUAGCCGGCUUGAGAGAGUGAACGGCCACAUUGGGACUGAGACACGGCCCAAACUCCUACGGGAGGCAGCAGUGGGGAAUAUUGCACAAUGGGGGAAACCCUGAUGCAGCAACGCCGCGUGAGUGAAGAAGUAUUUCGGUAUGUAAAGCUCUAUCAGCAGGGAAGAAAAUGACGGUACCUGACUAAGAAGCACCGGCUAAAUACGUGCCAGCAGCCGCGGUAAUACGUAUGGUGCAAGCGUUAUCCGGAUUUACUGGGUGUAAAGGGAGCGCAGGCGGUCUGGCAAGUCUGAUGUGAAAAUCCGGGGCUCAACUCCGGAACUGCAUUGGAAACUGUCAGACUAGAGUGUCGGAGAGGUAAGUGGAAUUCCUAGUGUAGCGGUGAAAUGCGUAGAUAUUAGGAGGAACACCAGUGGCGAAGGCGGCUUACUGGACGAUAACUGACGCUGAGGCUCGAAAGCGUGNGGAGCAAACAGGAUUAGAUNCCCUGGUAGUCCACGCC